rnacentral:rRNA from 1 species
UAGUCCACGCUGUAAACGAUGAGAACUAACUAUUGCGGGUAUUGACCCCUGCAGUGGUUCAGCUAACGCGUUAAGUUCUCCGCCUGGGGAGUACGGUCGCAAGAUUAAAACUCAAAGGAAUUGACGGGGGCCCGCACAAGCGGUGGAUUAUGUGGUUUAAUUCGAAGCAACGCGCAAAACCUUACCUAGGCUUGAAAUCCAGAGAAGUCGACCCAAAAGUCGAUGUGCCCUUCGGGGAAUUCUGUGACAGGCGCUGCAUGGCUGUCGUCAGCUCGUGUUGUGAAAUGUUGGGUUAAGUCUCGCAACGAGCGCAACCCCUAUUGUUAGUUGCCAGCGAGUAAUGUCGGGGACUCUAACGAGACUGCCCGCGUAAGCGGAGAGGAAGGUGGGGACGACGUCAAAUCAUCAUGGCCUUUAUGCCUAGGGCUACACACGUGCUACAAUGGCAGGUACCAGAGGGUUGCGAAGGGGUGACCUGGAGCUAAUCUCAGAAAGCCUGUCCCAGUUCGGAUUGGG